rnacentral:rRNA from 1 species
AGUUUCGAGGUAGUGACGAGAUUAACAAUACAGGGCAUUUUAUGCUCUGUAAUUGGAAUGAUGGGAAUGUAAAACCCUUCCAGAGUAACAAUUGGAGGGCAAGUCUGGUGCCAGCAGCCGCGGUAAUUCCAGCUCCAAUAGUGUAUAUUAGAGUUGUUGCAGUUAAAAAGCUCGUAGUUGGAUUUCUGCCGUGGUCUGCCGGCUCCGCCCAGUAUUGGGUGCGAGCGUGGUUUGGCCUCGGCAUUUUCCCGGUAGCCUUCCGCGUG